rnacentral:rRNA from 1 species
UACAGAGGUCUCAAGCGUUGUUCGGAUUCAUUGGGCGUAAAGGGUGCGUAGGUGGCGCUGUAAGUCAGGUGUGAAAUUUCGGAGCUUAACUCCGAAACUGCAUUUGAUACUGCGGUGCUUGAGGACUGGAGAGGAGACUGGAAUUUACGGUGUAGCAGUGAAAUGCGUAGAGAUCGUAAGGAAGACCAGUGGCGAAGGCGGGUCUCGUGGACAGAUACUGACACUCAACUACGAAAGCGUGGGUAGCAAAGCAGG